GGUCCCGUAGUGUAGCGGUUAACACCCUGGACUUUGAAUCCAG
rnacentral:tRNA from 1 species